rnacentral:tRNA from 2 species
CAGAUGUAGUUUAGUGGUAGAACUCCAGCCUUCCAAGCUGGUCGUGUGGGUUCGAUUCCCAUCAUCUG